rnacentral:rRNA from 1 species
GAUGAACGCUAGCGAUAGGCCUAACACAUGCAAGUCGAGGGGCAUCACAUGAGGCAGCAAUGCCGAUGGUGGCGACCGGCGCACGGGUGAGUAACACGUAUGCAACCUGCCUUCAACAAGGGGAUAACCCGUUGAAAAACGGACUAAUACCCUAUAAUACAGGGGUCCCGCAUGGGGAUAUUUGUUAAAGAUUGAUCGGUUGAAGAUGGGCAUGCGUUCCAUUAGCUGGUUGGUGAGGUAACGGCUCACCAAGGCAACGAUGGAUAGGGGAACUGAGAGGUUUAUCCCCCACACUGGUACUGAGACACGGACCAGACUCCUACGGGAGGCAGCAGUGAGGAAUAUUGGUCAAUGGACGCAAGUCUGAACCAGCCACGUCGCGUGAAGGAAGACGGCCCUACGGGGUUGUAAACUUCUUUUGUAAGGGAAUAAAGUGUAGUACGCGUACUAUUUUGCAUGUACCUUACGAAUAAGGAUCGGCUAACUCCGUGCCAGCAGCCGCGGU